CCUACGGGAGGCAGCAGUCGAGAAUUUUUCACAAUGGACGAAAGUCUGAUGGAGCGACGCCGCGUGGAGGAUGAAGGUUCUUGGAUUGUAAACUCCUGUCACUGCAGAACAAGGCAGUGUGUAUGAAUAGUGCGCACUGUUGAUGGUAUGCGGAGAGGAAGGGACGGCUAACUCUGUGCCUUCAGCCGCGGUAAU
rnacentral:rRNA from 1 species